CCGCCGCUGCCGCCAGGUCCCGCUCGGUUCGGCGCGGCGCCGUCACGUGUGAGGCUCGCAGCGCGUCCCUUUCGCGCACUUUCUGCGCUCGGCGGCCUCGGCGGCGACUCCGGCCCCUCCCUGGCGCGGGGAUGGGGAAGUUAAGGCAGCGAGCGCCGGUGGGGGUGCGUCCCUUCCCUGGCGGGCACACCUCCUUGUUCUCCCUGCAGGAAUGAAGAGUUGCAUGGGGCUCGCUCGUUUUCUCUGGAGUUAGUUGCGUCCUAUACAGGGUCGUGUCGAGGUCGUCCUAAACCGUGGCCACUUUCCUGAGUGCACAGCCCGCAGUAGCGCCACAAGACCACCUCCCCCCGGCCCCGGCCUCAUCCCCACCUCCAGGGAAGAGUCCAGAGCCACAGAAUUAGCUCCUAGAACGCAACCAACAAGAGUCCAGAUGAACCCGCUCUAUUGGGAAACUCACAGUUUUUCAUCUACUCUGGGCACCACAACGUAUUUGCAGGGGCCACAGCAAAAACUACCCUUGAUCAAGCUACGUGCCCCAGCCUGAAGCACAGCAAAUAAACAUCCUGCACAGAGGCAGUAAAAACAAGGGUACAUCUGACAAAGAAUGCACCACACCUGGACAAUUAUUACACAGCUAUACAGGGUGUGCUUGCACGCACGCAUGAAUACCUGUGCGUGGCACAGGGCCCCAGCGGCGGCUUGCUUAUGAUCCCUCCAAGGUGACCAAGCACUGAGCCACCCUGCCUCAGCAGUAAAAUAGACAUAUUUACCAGUCCCUUCAACCCACAGCCAGGAGCUAGGCAAACACCCACAGAGGAGGGAGGACACACUUUAACCCUACAUUCAGCUUGACGAGCCAAACUCUCUGAACCACAGGAGAUAAAACUUCUGCCAUGGAACUGCUAAGGUAGAUAAUCAGCAACCCCCCAAGACUGUGCCUGCUGCACAACUACAGAACGCAGUGGAAGACACGCUGAAUUCUGAGUCAGAAGGUUGACUUUCUAGCUGUGGGGACUUGGCCAAACCUCCUCAGAGCUUCAGUUUUCUCAUCUGUAAAAUAGAGAUCUUAAUCCCUACCAAUCUCACAGGACUGCUGAGAGUAUCAGAUGAGGUAAGUAUAUAAAAUAGCUGUGCAAAUUUGUGUGAAGGCCUCCAGAGAGAAAUAGUGCAUGCAGGUGGCAUUAGAAACAUAGAUUCUAGUCCUGGCUUUGCAACCAAAUUAUUAUGUAAUUUUUUGUCUUGAUCAUCUUGUCUCUUACGAUUUCUUCAUAAGUUAAAUGAAAAGACACCUUUCAGCCCUGACCACUCCCAAACCUUCAGGACCCCCACUGGGUUGUGAGAUAGGAGCAGCCACAGGCAAGGUCACCCAGGACAGGAGUUAGAGCUGAAUCGUGCAAUAUGAGUGAGGUGUUCCUCUCAGCUUCAAAACCAGCUCUGGGUUGUAAACAAGCUACCACUUCCUCUAUCCCUCUGAAGUAACAUCAAAGUUGGGGUGCAGGAUGGAAGACAGUACCAUAUCCCCCUCUGUCCCAUCUUGCAUGGCCUUGCUCGGAUGCUGCCCAGCAUCAUGACGAAAAUCAACAUGCACGGAAAUGUAAUGAUAGACUCACAGCUGUGUAUAAAACAGUCUUAAGCCUGUUGUCAGACUUUAAACUGCCCUCCUCUGUCCUACUGCCCAUCUUAGGCCACUGGAGAUGGAGGUAGAGGACAAACACACAGAGGUCACAGUGUCCUACAUUUUUAUCCAGGUGGAGUCAUGUUUAAAAUAGCAGCAAGGACAGCCACGAAGAGGAAAAAACUCCCCAAAGCCUAAUUUGACUUCUUUCUGUUCUUUCUCUUCCUGUGGCCUUCUCACAUGCUCACCUCCUGGCUGGCCAACUUCUAUUCAGCCUUCAGGUUUCAGAGCAGCCUCCUUAGGCACCUAGGCUAGGUUACAGCCCUCACUCUAAGGCUCUAGUCCCCUGUAGCCUUUGAUACUUCCUCUCUGGUCACUUGCUUAAUCUCCAUCUUCCUCUUAAUCUACAAGCAGCAGAAUGACAAAACCAGUCUAUCUCAUUCAAGUCUAGACGCCCAGUGCCCAGCAUACUCUUGGCACAUGGUGGCACUCAAUGAUAUUUAUAGGAUGCAUGCAUUUAAAUGAAGGUGAGAAGUGACACCACCUUUGUCCUGGUGGCAAUGGUUGGUUAAGGGGCCAAUGUAGUUGAAUCUCAGAUCUUUUCUUACCACCAUCUGCUUCCCACCUCGUUUUCUCCCCCAAAGCAGGCCUCUCUGAGUCACGCAACCAGACCAGAGUCAUUAAAGCAGAAAAGGGACUUCCCUGCCCUUAGGAUGGUAAACAUUGUUCCCUCUUCCAUGUUACUUUGGCCAAAUAACUACCAUUGACCUCACCAGCUCAGGCAAAAUAGAAAUACCCGCCUGCCCCCAAAGAAAUAACUCCUUCUCCUGCUGUUGCCAAAAUCUACUUCAGUUAGGAAAGCGUCCAAGAUAAUUGAUGAGGUUUAAAAUACAAAUGCACCCAGAGCAUAGAAUAAGUAACUUAUAUUCUCACUCUUGAUUAAAUUAAAUCCAAAGAGGAGUUUCUGGAAAUAGCAGUAAGUUAUUUUGCAUAGCAGUGAUUUACAUUUGCAUAACAUUAUAACAGCAUUAUCUAUCUCAUUCCAUCGCACAGCAACCCUUUGAAGUGGGCCAAAGCGAGAAUUAUUGUCACCCCCAUUUUACAGACCUUAAGCAUUGAAAUUCAGAAAGGAAGACUAUUUGCUUUGCCUAAAGUUAAACAGGCUUGCUAACUUACUGUUAGUAAGGGAUAAAUUUGAACCCAGGCUCCCUUUUUCUGCCACAUCUGAUACCUCUCUUAGGAAGAGAAGAGCUGGUAUUUCAAGUCCUGGGUAUAGUGGAACAGCGGGAAUUAGGGCAGAAAGAAGGAAAGGGAGUGGCUGUAGGCCUCACCUCCUUCACAACUCAGCCCUGCCUUAACCAGCACUGUCUCCCUUCCUAGGUACCUAGCCUAGGUGAGAUGCUGUAUCUGCUUGACCCUCACGCCCUGAUUGGGACAAGUUAGCAGUAAUGUUACAGUUACAAAGCUCACAAGUCCAGUCCUGUUUUCUAUACUUUUCUAGGAGAUGAAUUUAGCGAGGGAUUUGGUUUCCAAUGUGUUUCAAAACCUGUGAGAGAGCGCAAGUUUUAGAAGGUCCCUCAGACAGGCACAGUGACUUAUGCCCUUAAUCCCAGCACUUACAGAGGCCAAGGCGGGAGGAUCGUUUGAACCCAGGAGUUCAAGACCAGCCUGGGCAAUGUGUCGAAACCCCACCUCUACAAAAAAUACAAAAAUGAGCCAGGCAUGGUAGCACAUGCCAGUAGUCCCAGCUACUUAGGAGGCUGAGUGGGGAGGAUCGCUUGAGCCCAGGAGGUCAGGGCUGCAGUGAGCUGAGAUCGCACCACUGCACUCCAGCCUGGGUGACAGAGAGAGACCCUGUCUCAAAAAAAAAAAAAAAAAAAGCCCUCAAGUUUUGGUUCCACUGUUUACCCUUGUCUGGCCUUCAUCCCUGCGUAACUCAACUUCCUGAACUUCUAGAUCAAGAAAGCAUUUAGACCUUUCUCACAAAGUGUGUGAAGCGGGAACCUAGAAGUUUCUUAUAAUUAUGUAGACCCAAGGACAAACCUCCUGACAUAAGACAAUGGGUUGCUGAGGGUCCCUAGGAAAUUACCUCUUUCCCUGGGAAUAUAGAGGAGUAGGACUCCCCCUCCUGGGUUUGAAGUGAAUGAGAGGAACUUAAGCUGAAGAUUAUUUGAAUAUCCCCGUGUAAUUACAUAUCAAGGCUUGUAUCUUCUUCCCUUGAGGCCUUUGCUGUACAUUCACUGGGGAUGCAUGCGUUAGGCACAGACGAGCCUGGGGAUGUGACCAAUCAGCUUGGACACAGCACAGUUGAAAUGUGAUGCUUUGUUUCAGCAGAUGCCUCUGCACUCUCUUAGGGCCAGCAAGACAGGGAAAGCAGACAGUCAGACUAGCUUUUUG
rnacentral:lncRNA from 1 species